rnacentral:rRNA from 1 species
CAGCAGCCGCGGUAAUUCCAGCUUCAAUGGCGUAUAUUAAAGUUGCUGCAGUUAAAAAGCUCGUAGUUGGAUUUGUGGCGCGGUCGUCCGGCGGGGCUUCCGGUUUCAUAGUAUCCCGGGGCCGUUUGUCUGGGUUCUUGGCCGCCCCAUUCUUCGGUUGCGUGUCGCUGGCAUUAGGUUGUCGGCUUCUUCGCGCCGAUCGUUUACUGUGAAAAAAUUAGAGUGUUCAAAGCAGGCUUAGGCCGUUGGAUACAUUAGCAUGGAAUAAUGAGAUAGGGCCACGGCGGUCUAUUUUGUUGGUUUGCACGUUGUGGUAAUGAUUAACAGGAACGGUUGGGGGUAUUCGUAUUCAAUUGUCAGAGGUGAAAUUCUUGGAUUUAUGGAAGACGAACUACUGCGAAAGCAUUUACCAAGGAUGUUUUCAUUAAUCAAGAACGAAAGUUAGGGGAUCGAAGAUGAUUAGAUACCAUCGUAGUCUUAACCAUAAACUAUGCCGACUAGGGAUUGGCGGUCGUUAACUUACAGGACUCCGUCAGCACCUUCCGAGAAAUCAAAGUCUUUGGGUUCCGGGGGGAGUAUGGUCGCAAGGCUGAAACUUCAAGAAAUGACGGG